rnacentral:rRNA from 1 species
AUUGAACGCUGGCGGCAGGCCUAACACAUGCAAGUCGAGCGGAUGAAGGGAGCUUGCUCCUGGAUUCAGCGGCGGACGGGUGAGUAAUGCCUAGGAAUCUGCCUGGUAGUGGGGGAUAACGUCCGGAAACGGGCGCUAAUACCGCAUACGUCCUGAGGGAGAAAGUGGGGGAUCUUCGGACCUCACGCUAUCAGAUGAGCCUAGGUCGGAUUAGCUAGUUGGUGGGGUAAAGGCUUACCAAGGCGACGAUCCGUAACUGGUCUGAGAGGAUGAUCAGUCACACUGGAAGUGAGACACGGUCCAGACUCCUACGGGAGGCAGCAGUGGGGAAUAUUGGACAAUGGGCGAAAGCCUGAUCCAGCCAUGCCGCGUGUGUGAAGAAGGUCUUCGGAUUGUAAAGCACUUUAAGUUGGGAGGAAGGGCAGUAAGUUAAUACCUUGCUGUUUUGACGUUACCAACAGAAUAAGCACCGGCUAACUUCGUG